UACGAGGGGGGCGAGCGUUGUUCGGAUUCAUUGGGCGUAAAGGGUGCGUAGGCGGCGCGGUAAGUCGGGUGUGAAAUCUUGGAGCUUAACUCCGAAACUGCAUUCGAUACUGCCGUGCUUGAGGACUGGAGAGGAGACUGGAAUUUACGGUGUAGCGGUGAAAUGCGUAGAUAUCGUAAGGAAGACCAGUGGCGAAGGCGGGUCUCUGGACAGUUCCUGACGCUGAGGCACGAAGGCCAGGGGAGCAAACGGG
rnacentral:rRNA from 1 species